AUUUCAAGCUUCAUGUUAACCGAUAGCAUGGACUGAAUCACCUCAUACGCAACUCCUCAACUAUUAUUCAAACGGUAUGUCUACAUAGCUAAAAUUACCAUUAUCCUCAUAUUAUGUAGCAACCACUUUAUCUUGCAGGAGCAAGUGCAAAACAUAUUUACUAAUUUAAUAGAUGCGUUAUACUUCAUCACAGCAAAUUAUUCAUAAAUUGUACAGACUUCAGGCCAAUAGCACGUCGCAUGAUGGUGCUUUUAGUAGUAAUAAAUGUGUUGUUAGUAUUUACAAUCAGUACAAUCGCUAUUUACUUUGUGAAAGACUCUCAAAGAGCCCAAAGCAGUCCUUUUGAAAAACUUAUACAUAAAUGCUGCUCUACCGAUCGUUACGUGGGGCUGAAGAGAACUUGUGUGGACUACAACGAAACGCUAACAUUGUCCAACAUCAAAGUAUAUGAUAAAGCAUUAAACAGUACAGGAAAGUCACUCCAAGAAGUUUUCAGUCUGAUCACGAAGAAAUUUGAAGAUGAAGCCUUUAGAAAAAACGCACUGGAUGUUACUUUAUUGAAUUUUAACAUUUAUCUGACUGAGAGCGGUGUCCUUACACUGGAAGUCCCAAAUGCAUACAAUCGCUGGUUUGCAGUACCACAAGGCAACUACUGCGUUGACUUUCAUGUGACUGACCCAGGUGGAAUCACUCCUAGAUUCUGGGCAAUCCUGCCUAACGAAGAAUUUAUUGAAAGUAGUCUUUACACGACAUGUGGUACUGGACGGAUAAGUACUAUACUUGCCCAGCAUUUUUAAGGUUUUCGAGUAGACCAAUAACCACCAAUAUCGCCUUGCGGACAAUUAGAUCGUUUUGAUAAAACAACUUCUGAUGACGACGGCGGACAGAGAAGGAAUACGGGCUACUCACGACCAGGGAACACUCUGGUGUUCAUGGAAUUAUGGGUGUUCUUAUUAGAAAAAAAUAACUUGUCGUAGCAAGUUAUCUAACAAAUUCCAAAAGUUGUUUUCUUUGUUUUUGCAUCAUAAGCCUUAUUCUUACGAUGCAAUACCAAUGUUAUGACUAGGAAUCUUACUAAAUAAAGAUGUAUUUUUAAGAUUAAUAAAAUAUACCAGGUUGUAGUUACUUAAGUCAAAGGUUUUUAUUCCAUAUAGAACUGUAGUGGGACCUACACUAAUUGUUGACGCAUCAAUAUUGUCAUACUGUACUUGCAUUGUGUUCGCCUCCUCAGUUGUCCCGUAUAUCGCACUACCAACGCACGCUACUAAAUAUUGUGACUGUACCCAAAUCGUAUGUAACCUAAUUGGAGUCAGAUAAUAAAAGUGUAUUAAUUAGUAUUCGGUUUAUUUACUUAUCUCUGAACACGACACCCCACCAUCUAAAUUGGUGACCCCGUGUGGAGAAAGUGUGAACUGUAACCAGUGAAUUUGGACUUGUAAUUCAGUGAAUCGGACGACCGGGGCAACUCACACAAGUGUACGUAGUGUCGGCUUAAUAUUAGUGCGCGUCAAAUUAAGAAAAUUAUAAUGUCGUCUGAGGACAAGAAGGUCGUUAUUGAAGAACAUCAACUGUCGUCCAUCUCCAUCACAGCUAGAAUUCCGGAAUUUUGGAAGAAGUCACCUAGAACAUGGUUUAUCCAAGCAGAAGCAGUUCUAAAUCCUCAGAAGAUGUCUGACGAAUCAAAGUACCAGGUCCUUAUUUCAAAAUUACCCCCCGACGCAGUUGAGCAAGUUACACAGAUCCUUGUGGAUCCCCCUGAGAAAAAUAAAUAUGAGACCUUGAAGAAUAAGUUAAUAUUUAUAUAUCAAGAAUCCGAAGAGCGGCAAGUAAAAAAACUCAUUGGCGAAAUGGAAUUAGGCGACCAGAAACCAUCACAAUUACUAAGAAAAAUGCAAGACCUAGCCAGGGGACGAGUAAAUAACGAAACACUCAUAGUUAUGUGGCAGAAUCAUUUACCAAAUUCGGUGCGAGGAGUUUUAGCUGUAACGGAAGAAAAAGAUCUAGAGAAAUUGGCAUCAAUAGCGGAUAAAAUAAUGGAAACAACGACUCAAAUAAAUAGUGUUGCGACUUUCAAACAGGAACCAGGCCCAUCGGGUUCUCAGGACCAAAUUAUUUCGGCAAUAAACAAAUUGAGUGAUAGAUUACAAAAUUUAGAGUCAAGAUCACGAAGCCGUUCAAAUAGCUGGCGAAGGAAUAACUUUAGACGCAACAGAUCCAGGUCAGGGUCAAGAAGUCGCACAAGGAAAUUCGAAGAUCCAAAUUGGCUAUGUUUUUACCAUUAUAAGUAUCGCAGCAAGGCAACUAAAUGCGUGGAUCCAUGUAACUGGAAGAAAAAACACGACAAGGACAAGCCAGCGGAAAACUAGAGUCGGUGCAGUCUGCGACGGGAGGCUGUGACCGUGCCUUCGGGAAUCACCGUCUGUGUGUCAGAGACAGGAAAUCGGGCUUAAACUUCUUAGUGGAUAGUGGUGCAAACGUGUCAGUGUUACCGCGGAAAGUAGCCUACAUGAAAGGUAAUACAAGUGAGUGCUGUUAUAAACUCUUUGCCGCAAAUGGAACUCAGAUUAACACGUAUGGUACAUUGUACUUAGAAUUAGAUUUAAACCUAAGACGAGCAUUCCGUUGGUUAUUUACAUUAGCGGACGUACAGCAACCAAUAUUAGGUGCUGACUUCUUAGCUAAUUUUCAGUUGUUAAUUGACUUGAACGGACGAAGGUUAAUCGAUCAAAUAACUAAUUUAAGCACCAAAGGCAAUCUUUCUAAUUCUAGUGAGCCCACUUUGAAAACUAUUGUAAAUAAUUGCCCUUAUUAUGAUUUAUUAUGUGAAUUUCCAGAACUAACUAAGCCAGUUUCGUACAAAGAAACGCCUAAACAUAAUGUUUGUCAUCACAUUGAGACCACAGGACCUCCAGUGCACGCACGAGCCAGGCAGUUACCACCAGACAGGUACGUAAAAGCUAAAAAUGAGUUUAAGAUUAUGCAAGAGCUUGGGAUUUGUAGGCCGAGUAAAAGCGCUUGGGCAAGUCCCUUGCAUGUUGUUCCUAAGAAGGACGGGAAUAUUAGACCUUGUGGAGAUUAUAGACGUUUAAAUGCGAUUACCAAGCCUGAUCGAUAUCCAGUUCCCCGUCUUCAUGAUUUUACGUAUAUGUUAGAUAAUAAAAAGGUUUUCUCAAAGCUAGAUAUAAAUAGAGCCUAUUAUUGUGUGCCAGUUUCGGAAAAUGACAUUGAGAAAACUGCAGUCAUAACACCGUUUGGUUUAUUCGAAUUCGUGCGUAUGCCAUUUGGAUUAAGAAAUGCUGCACAAACUUUUCAACGUUUUAUGCAUCAUACUGUUUUACAAGACUUAGAUUUUCUUUUCAAUUACGUAGAUGACGUCAUCAUUGCAUCGGAAAAUGAAGAGCAGCAUAGAGAACAUUUACGAAAAGUUUUUGAACGUUUUAAUGAAUUUGGUAUAACGAUUAAUUUUUCAAAGUGUAGUUUUGGUAAAGAUAAAUUAGAGUUUUUGGGUUUUGAGGUCUCUACAGAAGGAAUUAAACCAUUAGAAGAUAAAGUUAAAGCGAUUAUUGAUUUUCCAAAGCCGGAUACUGUAGAGGAACUUAGAAGAUUUUUAGGCAUGUUAAAUUUUUAUAGAGCUCAUAUACCGCAUUCGGCUGAUCAUCAGGCAGCGUUAAAUAAAUAUUUAGGGAAUUCAAAGCGUAAGGAUAAAAGUAAAAUCAAUUGGACACCUGAAGCUACGAACAAUUUUGAAAAAUGUAAAGAUGAUCUUAAAAAUGCUACCUUAUUGUAUUUCCCAUCGGCACAUACACCUUUGUCAUUGAUGACGGACGCAUCAGACACAAGUGUAGGUGCUGCUAUGCGAUUCUGUAACAAACACAUCAUCGAUGCUAACAACGACGAGUUCACAGAUGUCGCAUCGUAGACAUCGCUUUUAAAAACAACGUUGAUGAAAACCGUAUUCGGUUAGCUCAAAAGUUCGUCGACGAUCUGCCGAACAACGAUGACGGGUAGGAUGUUUACAGUGUUGCCAAAUUUCUUCUAAAGCAAUUUAAAGUAUAAUCGAGAAAAUCUCGACUAACGUUUUUUGGCGUUAUUUCGACAUUUUAAAUCAAUGUAAAUGCAUAAUAUGUAUGUAUAAAACACAUUCUAUUCGAUAAGCAACGAAUAUUUAAUUAAUCAUAUCAUUUUCGACAUAGAAAAUAAUGACUCAAAUCUUUGACAUUUGUUAUAAUCUACGUUAUGUAGUAUAAUAUAUAGUCUGUGUCAUUUCAAAACUUUUCAAAACCAAAACAAACAUUUUGCUCAUAACUGGAUUAUAUCUUUAUUUAUCUAAAUACGAGAUUUCAAAGCUCCAAAUGGCUUUAAGCGGUCAAGUGGACUUUAAAAAAAGUUGUACCCCUAACCAACGGCAUUCUACUUGUCCUGUGUUUUAGUUUGGUUCCAAAACUAUCGAAAGUAAGUACACAGUACGUAACAUUUACAUUUUAAUAUACAAUACAGUCUUUGUGAACUACGUGUAUUAACUAAAACAUUUAUCUUUUAGUUAAUACACUGUUGAGUCAGCUGGAAGAGCUAGUAAGCUUUUUGGAAAACAAACCAUGUUUGAUUAUGAUGGGCCCAUGAUCGUACUGCAAAUGCGAGCAGUCAUCAGGCACGAUCCGAAAACAACAGCCCCAAACAGUGACGUAGUGGAUGUAUGGAAAUAUUGGGGCAGUGGUGUAAGUACUGGAAGGACAAAAAGGAGCAUUUCAGAGGAAGUCCAGUUCUAUUGCAGCUGCGAGACAACAUGAAGAAUUUGCCAGAACUUGGUAUAAUUGAGUUAAAAAUACAUUCCAUUAUGCAAGGAGAAUGUUUUGGAAUCUGAAUUUAGAUAAAUAAAUCCAUGUUCAUUAUAAAAUACAAAAUAAUAAAAAGACAUGUUGAAUUAAAA